CGAGGAUUCUCCCAGUAACGGCGAGUGAACGGAGAGAAGCCCAGCGCUAAAUCAUUUGAUCACAACCGAUCAUAUUGAACUGUAGCGUAUAGGUGUAAUUGUCCCAGUGUUUUGUGCACUCAAAGUCCCCUUGAGCGGGGCCACAGUCCAUAGAAGGUGCUAGACCUGUACGGGUGAUGAAACACUGGGUUGAUUGCUCCUUGGAGUCGGGUUGCCUGAGAUCGCAGCUCAAAGUGGGUGGUAAACCUCAUCUAAGGCUAAAUAUGGCCACGAGACCGAUAGCAAACAAGUACCGUGAGGGAAAGUUGAAAAGAACUCUGAGAAGAGAGUUAAAUGAGGACGUGAAACCGCUGGGAUGGAAACGAAUAGAGUUGACGAAACCUGCCGUCAUUCAACCGAUCAACUCAGCGGUCUUUGGUUAAUGUACCGCGCUGGAUCACUUGCCAUUGGUGAGUGUUUUUAUGUGUUGGACAUUGAUUGAAGGUGCUGUUGAGUGGUUACAUUUUCACUUGUAACUCCAAUUAUGUGUAUGUGAUCGGUGCAUUUGAUGGUGGUAUGCGCUGAGAGCCGCGUUUAUUGUACGAAGAAAUAUUUUGAUGUAGUGGACCGUAUGAAUUUUUUUGUACGGAAACCUACUCAAUAUGGAAGCGUAUCAUUAAUGCGGUUGCAAUUGCAAAUACUUCCGCCAAUUCAGCAAUGAAUUGGUGCAUCACUAUUGGACUCAAUGAUUCAUUGACACAAUAUGAUCGCAUGCGUAUUGUAUUGUUGGCGAUGAUCAUUUGAUGUUAUAGUUGUUGCGUACGAAGUUGCAUCUCAGUGUGAGCGUCGAUCACCUAUUCGACCCGUCUUGAAACACGGACCAAGGAGUCUAGCAUAUGCGCAAGUUAUUGGGUGGUAAACCUCAAAAAACGCAAUGAAAGUGAAACAAUUGUCUUUUUUCCAGCAAACUCUUCACCGGGUUUGAUGGUUGAUGACAAUUUUUUUUGUGUCUUUUUUUUCGAAUAUGUGAACCAUAUGAAAUGUGUGCAAAAAAAUGUGCGCACAUUGUAUGCAUAUGGUGCAACAUAGCCCCGUCUAAAUUGCAUGUCAAUUGGGCGGAGGUAGAGCGUAUAUGCUGGGACCCGAAAGAUGGUGAACUAUGCCUGAGCAGGAUGAAGCCAGAGGAAACUCUGGUGGAGGUCCGAAGCGAUUCUGACGUGCAAAUCGAUCGUCUGACUUUGGUAUAGGGGCGAAAGACUAAUCGAACUAUCUAGUAGCUGGUUCCCUCUGAAGUUUCCCCCAGGAUAGCUGGAACACAUCAAAAAGCAGUUAUAUUCGGUAAAGCGAAUGAUUAGAUGUAUUGGGGACGAAACGUUCUCAACCUAUUCUCAAACUUUCAAUGGGUAUGAAGUUUCGCUUGCUUAAAAAACGAUUGAAAAAAGACAAAAUUUAUUUGUCAAAUGAAGCGUAAACAUUGAAUGCGUGUUCCAAGUGGGCCAUUUUUGGUAAGCAGAACUGGCGCUGUGGGAUGAACCAAACGUCGAGAUAAAGUGCCAAACUUUCCGCUCAUGAGACCCCAUGAAAGGCGUUGGUUGAUAUAGACAGCAGGACGGUGGCCAUGGAAGUCGGAAACCGCUAAGGAGUGUGUAACAACUCACCUGCCGAAUCAACUAGCCCUGAAAAUGGAUGGCGCUUGAGCGGGAGACUUAUACUCGACCGUUGCAAGGCUUGUGUACAAAAUUGCAUACACACAAUCAAGCAUGCAAAAUGUUUGAUUGCAUGAAUUUGUUUGGCAUAUGUUACCUGGCCGCAACGAGUAAGAGGGUCGCAGUGAUUAGCGUUGAAGACUUUGGGCGUAGGCCCAGUUGGAGCUUUCACUGGUGCAGAUCUUGGUGGUAGUAGCAAAUAUUCAAGUGAGAUCCUUGAAGACUGAAGUGGAGAAGGGUUCCUCGUGAACAGCAGUUGGAUGCGGGUCAGUCGAUCCUAAGAUAUUGGCUAAUGCCAUUUGUUGAAUUGAGAGACGGAGGUUCAAAUCCAUCUCGGCAAUCGAAAGGGAAACGGGUUUAUAUUCCCGUACCUGGACACGGAGAUUAAAUAUUCAAUGGGAUUAUGUUUGUAUAUGUGUAUGCAUAUGCGCAUAAUUUUUCAUUUGAAUAUUUAGCGCGGUAACGCAAACGAACUCGGAGACGUUGAGCAGAGCCCGAGCCAGAGUUCUCUUUUCUGGUUAAGGAACGGACUCCCUGGAAGCGGUUCAGCCGGCGAUAGGGACGUUGUUUCCGUAAAGCGCCACGGUUCCUGUGGCGUCUCGUGCACUCUGCUCGAUCCAUGAAAAUCCGAGGGAGGCAAUUUGAAUUUCGUGCCAGAUCGUACCGAUAUCCGCAGCAGGUCUCCAAGGUGAACAGCCUCUAGUCGAUAGAAUAAUGUAGGUAAGGGAAGUCGGCAAAUUAGAUCCGUAACUUCGGGAAAAGGAUUGGCUCUAAGGACUGGGCCGGUCGGGCUGCAACGUGAAGUGAGUGCGGUUUGAUCCGUGCAGUGUUGACGCCUAAAUCGGGUUGCAUUUAUGCAUCCAUUGUUUAUUCAAUGCUUAUGCACAUUUUGCCACACAUAUAUGCGCUUUUUAUUCGCAUCUCACAACAAUUUACCAUUGUGCACAUAUUUUGAUGGUAUAUAAACCAGGGAAUUUUUUUGUUUGUUUGUAUUAUGUGUGUGUGCAUAUAAAAUUUAUUUUUUACGCAUUCAAUUCGAAUAUAUCAACCAGAUUGAUGUCAAUCAAUUAUUGGUGAUAUAUUUGAGUUGUAAUGUAUUGGAAUAGAUUGUAUGCGCAUACAUAUGUACUGCAACAAAAAAGUAAAAUUUUUUGGUUUUAUAUAUUUUUGAGAGAUAUGUGUGCGGUAGAUUGUUUGUUGAGAUGUGUAUGGUAGAAAGAUUGUUGUAUAUGUGAUGUGCAAUGUGUAUGGGUGAAUAAAUGGGAUGUAUUUUAAAUGUCCGAUGGAGUGUUUGACUCGGCUAGUGUUUGAACUGUCUUAUGGACCGUUGCAGCUGUGCGUUAUUUUCAUUCAAAGCUUUUGGUUUUUUUAUGUGAAUAAUGCUUCGUCCGGCGCUAAACAGUCAACUUAGAACUGGCACGGACUCGGGGAAUCCGACUGUCUAAUUAAAACAGAGGAGACAGAUGGUCCUUGCGGGCGUUGACUGUCUCUGAUUUCUGCCCAGUGCUCUGAAUGUAAAAGUGAAGAAAUUCAACCAAGCGCGGGUAAACGGCGGGAGUAACUAUGACUCUCUUAAGGUAGCCAAAUGCCUCGUCGGAUAACUACCGACGCGCAUGAAUGGAUUAUCGAGAUUCCCACUGUCCCUAUCUACUAUCUAGCGAAAUCACAGCCAAGGGAACGGGCUUGGUAAACACAGCGGGGAAAGAAGACCCUGUUGAGCUUGACUCUAGUCCGACUCUGUGAAGAGUCAUGAGAGGUGUAGCAUAAGUGGGAGGCGUAAGCCGCCAGUGAAAUACCACUACUUUCAUCGAUUCUUUACUUAUUCGGUAAGACGAGGAUUGAAUCAAAUAAAAAUUGAUUCUUGAUUGUGGUGUUGAAGUAUAGCCGCUUGGUGGCCGUACGACUCGCGCCGAAGACAGUGUCAGGCGGGGAGUUUGACUGGGGCGGUACAUCUGUCAAAUGGUAACGCAGGUGUCCUAAGGCAAGCUCAGAGAGGACGGAAACCUCUCGUAGAGUAAAAGGGCAAAAGCUCGCUUGAUCUUGAUUUUCAGUACGAAUACAGACCGCGAAAGCGUGGCCUAUCGAUCCUUUUGAAUUAGAAGGUGUCUAGCAAGAGGUGUCAGAAAAGUUACCACAGGGAUAACUGGCUUGUGGCAGCCAAGCGUCCAUAGCGACGUUGCUUUUUGAUCCUUCGAUGUCGGCUCUUCCUAUCAUUGCGAAGCAGAAUUCGCCAAGCGUUGGAUUGUUCACCCACCAAUAGGG
rnacentral:rRNA from 1 species